rnacentral:sRNA from 1 species
GGUCCUGAGAAAACUCCCCUUUCUGGCUCAUGCGCUGUAUGUCCAGGCCCCCACCGUCACCAUAGAGGGGUUCCUCCAGGCCCUAUCUCUGGCAGUGGACAAGCAGUUUGAAGAGAGAAAGAAGCUUGCGGCUUACAUCUGAUCCUGGGCUUCCCCAUCUGGUGCUUUUCCCAUGGAGAACACACAACCAAUAAUUCAGAUUGUUUGUCUCCUUGUGAAGAACCAUCGAAACCUGUUUGUUCCCAGCCCACCCCCAGUGGAUGGGAUGCAUAAUGCCAGCAAGUUUUGUUUAACAGCAAAAAA